rnacentral:tRNA from 1 species
UCCCUGGGGGCUCAGACGGUAAAGCGUCGGCCUGCAAAGCGGGAGACCCGGGUUCCAUUCCUGGGUCGGGAA